UUGAACAGCAUAUUUGAGCCUGAAUCAGAGGAAGAAUCUGAAAUAGAGGAGCAACCAGUCGCCCAUAGAUUGGAAAUGACUACUUCAGAGUGGUUAUUAAAAGAAUGACCCAGGUUCCUGAGGAGCUGACCUGAAUGACCAUCAUGGCCUCGAUCCGUUGUGCCUCUAUAUUCUUUGCAAAAUGCAAUGAAUAUUUACAGAGCUGACCAUGGCCGUUUGAGAAUCAGAGGAAUGGAAAGGCAAUGAAGUGACUUGGCCUACAGGUCUUUUGUGAGCAGGAGCUGGGGUUUCCUUAGAAGAAGCAUC